AGUAGUUUGAUCAUGGCUCGAGGACGAACGCUGGCGGCGUGCCUAACACAUGCAAGUCGAACGGAGUCAGAAAGCUUGCUUUUUGACUUAGUGGCGGACGGGUGAGUAACGCGUGGGUAACCUGCCUUGUACAGGGGGAUAACAGUUAGAAAUGACUGCUAAUACCGCAUAAGCGCACAGUACUGCAUGGUACAGUGUGAAAAACUCCGGUGGUACAAGAUGGACCCGCGUCUGAUUAGCCAGUUGGCAGGGUAACGGCCUACCAAAGCAACGAUCAGUAGCCGACUUGAGAGAGUGAUCGGCCACAAUGGAACUGAGACACGGUCCAUACUCC
rnacentral:rRNA from 1 species